UACGAAGGGGGCUAGCGUUGUUCGGAUUUACUGGGCGUAAAGCGCACGUAGGCGGAUCUUUAAGUCAGGGGUGAAAUCCCGAGGCUCAACCUCGGAACUGCCUUUGAUACUGGGGAUCUCGAGUCCGGGAGAGGUGAGUGGAACUGCGAGUGUAGAGGUGAAAUUCGUAGAUAUUCGCAAGAACACCAGUGGCGAAGGCGGCUCACUGGCCCGAUACUGACGCUGAGGUGCGAAAGCGUGGGGAGCAAACAGGG
rnacentral:rRNA from 1 species